CUAACACAUGCAAGUCGAACGAAGCACUUAUGUUUGAUUCUUCGGAUGAAGAUAUAUGUGACUGAGUGGCGGACGGGUGAGUAACGCGUGGGUAACCUGCCUCAUACAGGGGGAUAACAGUUAGAAAUGGCUGCUAAUACCGCAUAAGCACACAGUGUUGCAUGACACAGUGUGAAAAACUCCGGUGGUAUGAGAUGGACCCGCGUCUGAUUAGCUAGUUGGUGGGGUAACGGCCUACCAAGGCGACGAUCAGUAGCCGACCUGAGAGGGUGACCGGCCACAUUGGGACUGAGACACGGCCCAAACUCCUACGGGAGGCAGCAGUGGGGAAUAUUGCACAAUGGGGGAAACCCUGAUGCAGCGACGCCGCGUGAGCGAAGAAGUAUUUCGGUAUGUAAAGCUCUAUCAGCAGGGAAGAAAAUGACGGUACCUGACUAAGAAGCCCCGGCUAACUACGUGCCAGCAGCCGCGGUAAUACGUAGGGGGCAAGCGUUAUCCGGAUUUACUGGGUGUAAAGGGAGCGUAGACGGAUGUGCAAGUCUGAAGUGA
rnacentral:rRNA from 1 species